rnacentral:lncRNA from 1 species
UUAAAGAAAAUAAAUUUGACAUCAAAAUCCUAUCAUAAUGUGAUAUUUUUCAUAAUAUGUUAUCAAGUUGAAUAUGAGAUAUAAAAUUUAAUAAGAAUAAGAAUUAAUUUAGUUAUAUCAAGAAUAAGCAAGAAAUAAAAUUAAAAAAUUUAGCAUAUAAUAAGGGGGAGCAAAUUUUGAAUAAGAAUUGAACUCAAUUGUUUAUGAUAUUAAGGGGGAGUUUAAUAUUUUUGGAUUGUUAAAGAAAAAAAUUUACUCUCUUGAUCUUAUUGAUUAUUUUGUUUAAGUUAUUCUUUUUCAUGAUAUCAAAAAGGGGGA